rnacentral:rRNA from 1 species
ACAUCCACAGAAGAAUCCAGAGAUGGAUUUGUGCCUUCGGGAACUGUGAGACAGGUGCUGCAUGGCUGUCGUCAGCUCGUGUUGUGAAAUGUUGGGUUAAGUCCCGCAACGAGCGCAACCCUUAUCCUUUGUUGCCAGCGGUCCGGCCGGGAACUCAAAGGAGACUGCCAGUGAUAAACUGGAGGAAGGUGGGGAUGACGUCAAGUCAUCAUGGCCCUUACGACCAGGGCUACACACGUGCUACAAUGGCGCAUACAAAGAGAAGCGACCUCGCGAGAGCAAGCGGACCUCAUAAAGUGCGUCGUAGUCCGGAUUGGAGUCUGCAACUCGACUCCAUGAAGUCGGAAUCGCUAGUAAUCGUGGAUCAGAAUGCCACGGUGAAUACGUUCCCGGGCCUUGUACACACCGCCCGUCACACCAUGGGAGUGGGUUGCAAAAGAAGUAGGUAGCUUAACCUUCGGGAGGGCGCUUACCACUUUGUGAUUCAUGACUGGGGUGAAGUCGUAACAAGGUAACCGUAGGGGAACCUGCGGUUGGAUCACCUCCUUA